rnacentral:rRNA from 1 species
AAUCUUAACAGUGAAACUGCGAAUGGCUCAUUAAAUAAGUUAUAAUUUAUUUGAUCUUAUCUUACCAGUGGAUAUCCGUGGUAAUUCUAGAGCUAAUACAUAUACGCGAAGAGCCGACUUCUGGAAGGCUUGUAUUUAUUAGAUAAAAAACCAAUGUGGGCAACCACUUUUUUGGUGAUUCAUAGUAACUUUACUGAUCUCUCUAUGAGAGACGUAUCAUAAAAAUUUCUUCCCUAUCAACUUUUGAUGGUAAGGUAGUGGCUUACCAUGGUUUUUACGGGUGACGGGGAAUAAGGGUUCGAUUCCGGAGAGGGAGCCUGAGAAACGGCUACCACAUCCAAGGAAGGCAGCAGGCGCGCAAAUUACCCAAUCCUGAUACAGGGAGGUAGUGACAAUAAAUAACGAUCUAGGGCCCUUUGGGUCAUAGAAUUGGAAUGAGUACAAAUUAAAACUAUUAACGAGGAACAAUUGGAGGGCAAGUCUGGUGCCAGCAGCCGCGGUAAUUCCAGCUCCAAUAGCGUAUAUUAAAGUUGUUGCAGUUAAAACGCCCGUAGUCGAACUUUUAGAACUAUGAGGGGUUAGAUUAGGAUUUGGCAUUUAUUUGUUAGGUUCUGGUCUAGCUUUUUAUGUUCUAAUACGUUAUAUCUCUGGUCUUUGGGCUUAUGUGCUGCCUUUACUGGUAGUGUAUAGGUCAUUUCCUCUCGGGGAGGGCUAGAGAUGAUUACUUUGAAAAAAUUAGAGUGUUCAAAGCAGGCUUCAAGUCUGAAUACAUUAGCAUGGAAUAAUAAAAUAUGACUUUGGUUUUAUUUUGUUGGUUUCUAAAACUGAAGUAAUGAUGAAUAGGGUUGGUUGGGGUCAUUAGUAUUUUAUUGCUAGAGGUGAAAUUCUUGGAUUUGUGAAAGACUAACUUCUGCGAAAGCAUUUGACAAGGACAAUCUCAUUGAUCAAGGACGAAAGUUGGGGGAUCGAAGAUGAUUAGAUACCGUCGUAGUCUCAACCAUAAACUAUGCCAACUAGGGAUCAGGGCUUCAAAUUUAUUAGAAGCCUUGGCACCUUGUGAGAAAUCAAAGUUUU